UGAAGGGGGGGAUGUGGAGGUCGGGAGGUCACAGAAGUUCAAGGGCCUAAUGACGAAGGCCUUUCGGAGGACGGCUCUGACUGACUGAGAUGGGAGCCACUGCAGGCUUUGGACAUCAAUUACGCUUUCGAAGACUUCUCUGACUGCCGUGUUGAGACUCAUCAGGAGUGGGAAGAGCAGAAGAAAGGAGCCCGGCUUCGAGGCAACAGUCCCAGUGAGAGAUGAUGCUGGCUCACACAGGAGUGGUAGGAAUGGAGGUGGUGAGAAGUGUCGGAUUUCUGGAAAUAGCUUGAAAGCAGACACUGGAGGAUUGUUGUGAUCCCAGGAUCUUUGUGGGCCAUGAGUCUUGGGAAAAAGUCUUCUUUGGGAAUUCUUGCCACCCCAAAAUUUCAUGAGGAGGAUAAGCCACAGCAUGAUAUGCAGCCACAUCUAUCAUAAAUCAUGUUCAAUUCAGAUAGAACAAAGAAUGAACAACGUGUGAAGAAGAGAUGAGAGCAUUAAACAAAAAUGAGGCACAUUUGGUUAUCACUACCAAACUCCAAAAGGACAGACUUACAAUAUUUUAAGAAGACAAUUUCUUAUAGAUUUGAAUCUAUGGAGGCUAAAAAAAAAAAAGUUUCAUCAUAAUUGCUCUAACUUGCUAUUUUCAGACAUUUCCAACUGCCUAAGGAUUUUUAAAAAGGU